GAUGAACGCUAGCUACAGGCUUAACACAUGCAAGUCGAGGGGCAGCAUGGUCUCAGCUUGCUAAGACUGAUGGCGACCGGCGCACGGGUGAGUAACACGUAUCCAACCUGCCGUCUACUCUUGGACAGCCUUCUGAAAGGAAGAUUAAUACAAGAUGGCAUCAUGAGUCCGCAUGUUCACAUGAUUAAAGGUAUUCCGGUAGACGAUGGGGAUGCGUUCCAUUAGAUAGUAGGCGGGGUAACGGCCCACCUAGUCUUCGAUGGAUAGGGGUUCUGAGAGGAAGGUCCCCCACAUUGGAACUGAGACACGGUCCAAACUCCUACGGGAGGCAGCAGUGAGGAAUAUUGGUCAAUGGGCGAGAGCCUGAACCAGCCAAGUAGCGUGAAGGAUGACUGCCCUAUGGGUUGUAAACUUCUUUUAUAAAGGAAUAAAGUCGGGUAUGCAUACCCGUUUGCAUGUACUUUAUGAAUAAGGAUCGGCUAACUCCGUGCCAGCAGCCGCGGUAAGAC
rnacentral:rRNA from 1 species